UACAGAGGUCUCAAGCGUUGUUCGGAUUCAUUGGGCGUAAAGGGUGUGUAGGUGGCGCGCUAAGUCGGGUGUGAAAUUUCGGAGCUUAACUCCGAAACUGCAUUCGAUACUGGCGUGCUUGAGGACUGGAGAGGAGACUGGAAUUCAUGGUGUAGCAGUGAAAUGCGUAGAGAUCAUGAGGAAGACCAGUGGCGAAGGCGGAUCUCUGGACAGUUACUGACACUGAGGCACGAAGGCCAGGGGAGCAAACGGG
rnacentral:rRNA from 1 species